AAGCCGCUGCCUCCCCGGAGCCGGCAGUGCGCUCCGGCCUCGCACCUGCCGCCCGUCGCCUGCAGCCCCUACCGCGCGCUCCGCGCCCCGCCUGCUCCCGGCAGUCACUGGGCAAGAGAAGACUGGAAGCAUGUCGGAGUUUUGGUUAAUUUCCGCCCCUGGAGAUAAGGAAAAUGUGCAAGCUCUGGAGAGGAUGAACACUGUAACCUCCAAGUCCAACCUGUCUUAUAAUACCAAAUUCGCUAUUCCUGACUUCAAGGUGGGGACCUUGGAUUCCCUGGUUGGCCUCUCUGAUGAGUUGGGGAAACUCGACACCUUUGCUGAAAGCCUCAUAAGAAGAAUGGCUCAGAGCGUGGUGGAAGUCAUGGAGGACUCAAAGGGGAAGGCCCAGGAGCACCUCCUGGCAAAUGGAGUUGACUUAACAUCCUUUGUGACCCACUUUGAAUGGGACAUGGCCAGAUACCCUGCCAAGCAGCCGCUCGUGAGCGUGGUGGACACAAUAGCCAAGCAACUGGCGCAGAUCGAGAUGGACCUGAAGUCCCGAACGGCCGCUUACAACACUCUGAAGACAAACCUGGAGAACAUGGAAAAGAAAUCCAUGGGGAACCUCUUCACCCGGACACUGAGUGAUAUUGUGAGCAAGGAGGACUUCGUGCUGGAUUCUGAGUAUCUCAUCACACUUCUGGUCAUCGUCCCCAAACCCAACUACUCACAAUGGCAAAAAACCUACGAAUCUCUCUCAGACAUGGUGGUCCCUCGAUCAACCAAACUCAUUACUGAGGACAAGGAGGGGGGCCUUUUCACUGUGACUCUGUUUCGAAAAGUGAUUGAAGAUUUCAAAACCAAGGCCAAAGAAAACAAGUUCACUGUUCGUGAAUUUUACUAUGAUGAGAAGGAAAUUAAAAGGGAAAGGGAGGAGAUGGCCAGAUUACUGUCCGAUAAGAAGCAACAGUAUCAAACUUCCUGUGUUGCUCUUAAAAAGGGAUCAUCCACCUUCCCGGACCACAAGGUUAAGGUAACCCUGCUAGGUAACCCUGAUAGGCCCGCUGCGGGGCAGACCGACAGAGAGAGAGAGAGUGAGGGCGAGGGUGAGGUAAGCAACGCCCCGGGAACCCCGGGGUCCCUGGCUCGCAUCUCCUCGCCAACUCAGGCAUCUUCUGGGAAAAUGAAUCCUUGCAUUUUUCUGUUCUCUAACAUGGCUUUUGAGGUCUUAAAUUUGAGGAGCCAGAAUCAUGCCUUCCUCCUAAUCUGCAGGGCCUCUUUGGAGCUGCCCCCGCCUGGAGUGAAGGGUGCUUGUCGGCCAGGGCGCCUGUCCCCGGGCCCCUGGCUGGAGGUGGCUGGAGCUGGGACGGGCAGGGCCCUGGCUGGGGUGGUGGCAGGCAGCUCAGCUCUCCUCCCUUGGCUGCCCUUGCUGAACCCACCCCUGACCUUUGUGGGCAGUUGCAGUGUCGGGCGGGAGCUCCGAGCUCUUGCUCCCAGACUCUGAGCUCCCAGGAGGACCUGCCACACCAGUAUCAGUGGCUGCUGCUGUGGCCACGUGAGGCGGGGCUGUGAGGGGAGGCGCUGCUGUGGUUGAUGCCAGGACCCUGGGGGCAGAGCCUCUGAGAAGGUGGACUCCCUGGCUGCGCAGUGUCAGGCAGAAGCCCCUGGCUGCCCGCUGAAAGCCCCGAGGUCAGGGGCUGCCCAGCUCCCCGUGCUGCGGUCUGCGGUGGCCCCAUGCAUGCACCGGGUGGCUGGCCCGCUGAGCUUCCCUGGCACCAGGCGCCCUGGACCUCGAGGUCCUGAGCCUGACCCAGGGCUGGUCCGACCAACUCUCUGCUUCUGGCUCCUGGGCACUUCUUCUCAGCUCAGGGCGUGCUCUGUCAAAACCCAAGUCCUUUCUUGGCUCUGUGUUGGGCGGGGUGGCCAGGAGGGGUCACCGGGCUCUUCUGUCCUUUCAGGGCCCCCUGCUGCGCUGGCUCAAGGUGAACUUCAGCGAAGCCUUCAUUGCCUGGAUCCACAUCAAGGCCCUCAGAGUGUUUGUGGAGUCCGUGCUGAGGUAUGGACUUCCAGUCAACUUCCAGGCAGUGCUCCUGCAGCCGCUUAAGAAGUCAUCCACCAAGCGUUUAAGAGAGGUUCUAAACUCUGUCUUCCGACAUCUGGAUGAAGUAGCCGCUACAAGUAUACUGGAUGCAUCUGUGGAGAUCCCGGGACUGCAACUCAAUAACCAAGACUAUUUUCCCUAUGUCUACUUCCAUAUUGACCUUAGUCUUCUCGACUAGAAAGGCCAGCUGGCACCUCUGUCUCGUGUUCGUGCAGACUAUUAGACACCUCUUUCCUUUAGCCAGAGAAUGGUUCAAAUGUCUUACAGAACUAAGAUGUUUUUCAGAGAAAUUGCUCACAAAAGUUAGUGACAGUUGUAUUUAUUUUUUUUUAAGUUACAAUAAAAUGCUCUCAAGUCCUUUGAAGGUUCUAACAAAUUCAAAACUUCAUUUUUCUGAAUGUUUUACAUAAAUGCGAACUACCUGUUCGCAUUGGUAACCUGCUGCUGUAUUUCAUGUCUUAAUGGCUAUUCUGAGGUUCAUAACAACAUAGAAAGCCUUGUACUGUAUAACCAGCUAGAUUCCUUAAUAAUUAGUCACUAGAGAAAGCCCAAAGACAAAUAUUGGGCGGGAAGUCAGUGCUCACUGAGCCCGGUUUCCAUGUAAAAUAGCUGUUGUGGGGGGCAUUGAUGGCGCCAUCUGAAGCAAAGAGAUCUUGUUUUUUGUUUAAAAAAGUUUAUGGGGGAGGAAAGACAUCUGUGUAUCACUUCAAAAUAUUAAUUUACUGCUAAACAUCACUCUGAAUUUAUGAUGUAGAUACUAAUUUCAUACAUUUAUCGGCAUUAUCCAAAAUAUUUUAUUCUUUAAUGGAAAAAGCCAUUAAUAUUCAAAUGAAGGAAUCACAUUAAAAAACCCAUACAUAAGAAACAGCCUCCAAGAACAUUCAAGCAGCAGUCA